AGUGAACGCUGGCGGUAGGCCUAACACAUGCAAGUCGAACGGCAGCACAGUAAGAGCUUGCUCUUACAGGUGGCGAGUGGCGGACGGGUGAGGAAUACAUCGGAAUCUACUUUUUCGUGGGGGAUAACGUAGGGAAACUUACGCUAAUACCGCAUACGACCUACGGGUGAAAGCAGGGGAUCUUCGGACCUUGCGCGAUUGAAUGAGCCGAUGUCGGAUUAGCUAGUUGGCGGGGUAAAGGCCCACCAAGGCGACGAUCCGUAGCUGGUCUGAGAGGAUGAUCAGCCACACUGGAACUGAGACACGGUCCAGACUCCUACGGGAGGCAGCAGUGGGGAAUAUUGGACAAUGGGCGCAAGCCUGAUCCAGCCAUACCGCGUGGGUGAAGAAGGCCUUCGGGUUGUAAAGCCCUUUUGUUGGGAAAGAAAAGCAGCAGGUUAAUACCCCGCUGUUCUGACGGUACCCAAAGAAUAAGCACCGGCUAACUUCGU
rnacentral:rRNA from 1 species